GAAAUUACGCCUUCCAUGAAGCCGGAAUUGCUAGUAAUGGCAGGUCAGCAUACUGCCGUGAAUACGUUCCCGGGCCUUGUACACACCGCCCGUCACACCAUGAGAGUUGGGAAUACCCGAAGCCUGUGAGCUAACUUUUAGAGGCAGCAGUCGAAGGUAGAAUCAAUGAUUGGGGUGAAGUCGUAACAAGGUAAC
rnacentral:rRNA from 1 species